GUGGGGAAUUUUGGACAAUGGGCGCAAGCCUGAUCCAGCAAUGCCGCGUGCGGGAAGAAGGCCUUCGGGUUGUAAACUGCUUUUGUACGGAACGAAACGGUCCUGGUUAAUACCCGGGGCUAAUGACGGUACCGUAAGAAUAAGCACCGGCUAACUACGUGCCAGCAGCCGCGGUAAUACGUAGGGUGCAAGCGUUAAUCGGAAUUACUGGGCGUAAAGCGUGCGCAGGCGGUGCUGUAAGACAGGCGUGAAAUCCCCGGGCUUAACCUGGGAAUUGCGCUUGUGACUGCAGUGCUGGAGUGCGGCAGAGGGGGAUGGAAUUCCGCGUGUAGCAGUGAAAUGCGUAGAUAUGCGGAGGAACACCGAUGGCGAAGGCAGCCAUCUGGCCUAAUACUGACACUGAGGUGCGAAAGCGUGGGGAGCAAACAGGAUUAGAAACCCCGUAGUCC
rnacentral:rRNA from 1 species